AGAGUUUGAUCCUGGCUCAGGAUGAACGCUGGCGGCGUGCUUAACACAUGCAAGUCGAACGAUCCUUCGGGAUAGUGGCGGACGGGUGAGUAACGCGUGGGAAUCUGCCCUCAGGAGGGGGAUAACGGCUGGAAACGGCCGCUAAUACCCCAUAUGCCGAGAGGUGAAACGAAUUUCGCCUGAGGAUGAGCCCGCGUCUGAUUAGCUAGUUGGUGGGGUAAUGGCCCACCAAGGCGACGAUCAGUAGCUGGUCUGAGAGGAUGAUCAGCCACACUGGGACUGAGACACGGCCCAGACUCCUACGGGAGGCAGCAGUGGGGAAUUUUCCGCAAUGGGCGAAAGCCUGACGGAGCAACGCCGCGUGAGGGAUGAAGGCCUCUGGGCUGUAAACCUCUUUUCUCAAGGAAGAAGACCUGACGGUACUUGAGGAAUAAGCCACGGCUAAUUCCGUGCCAGCAGCCGCGGUAAUACGGGAGUGGCAAGCGUUAUCCGGAAUUAUUGGGCGUAAAGCGUCCGCAGGCGGCCUUGUAAGUCUGUUGUUAAAGCGUGGAGCUUAACUCCAUUUAAGCAAUGGAAACUACAAGGCUGGAGUGUGGUAGGGGCAGAGGGAAUUCCCGGUGUAGCGGUGAAAUGCGUAGAUAUCGGGAAGAACACCAGUGGCGAAGGCGCUCUGCUGGGCCAUAACUGACGCUCAUGGACGAAAGCCAGGGGAGCGAAAGGGAUUAGAUACCCCUGUAGUCCUGGCCGUAAACGAUGAACACUAGGUGUCGGGGGAAUCGACCCCCUCGGUGUCGUAGCCAACGCGUUAAGUGUUCCGCCUGGGGAGUACGCACGCAAGUGUGAAACUCAAAGGAAUUGACGGGGGCCCGCACAAGCGGUGGAGUAUGUGGUUUAAUUCGAUGCAACGCGAAGAACCUUACCAGGGUUUGACAUCCUGCGAACCCCUGAGAAAUCGGGGGGUGCCUUCGGGAGCGCAGAGACAGGUGGUGCAUGGCUGUCGUCAGCUCGUGUCGUGAGAUGUUGGGUUAAGUCCCGCAACGAGCGCAACCCACGUCUUUAGUUGCCAGCAUUCAGUUGGGCACUCUAGAGAGACCGCCGGUGAUAAACCGGAGGAAGGUGUGGAUGACGUCAAGUCAUCAUGCCCCUUACAUCCUGGGCUACACACGUACUACAAUGCUACGGACAAAGGGCAGCAAGCUCGCGAGAGUUAGCAAAUCCCAUAAACCGUGGCUCAGUUCAGAUCGUAGGCUGCAACUCGCCUACGUGAAGGAGGAAUCGCUAGUAAUCGCAGGUCAGCAUACUGCGGUGAAUACGUUCCCGGGCCUUGUACACACCGCCCGUCACACCAUGGAAGUUGGCCAUGCCCGAAGUCGUUACUCCAACCCUUGUGGAGGAGGACGCCGAAGGUGGGGCUGAUGACUGGGGUGAAGUCGUAACAAGGUA
rnacentral:rRNA from 1 species